rnacentral:rRNA from 1 species
AACGAACGCUGGCGCGUGCCUAACACAUGCAAGUCGAACGAGAAAGUUUCCUUCGGGGAAUGAGUAAAGUGGCGCAAGGGUGAGUAACACGUGAAUAAUCUGCCUUCAAAUCUGGGAUAACUUGACGAAAGUUAAGCUAAUACCGGAUAAGACCACGUUUCACAAGAGAUGCGGUAAAAGGGUCUCAAACCCCGUUUGAAGAUGAGUUCGCGAACCAUUAGCUUGUUGGUGAGAUAACAGCUCACCAAGGCUACGAUGGUUAGCCGGCCUGAGAGGGUGAUCGGCCACACUGGAACUGAGACACGGUCCAGACUCCUACGGGAGGCAGCAGUGGGGAAUUUUGCGCAAUGGGCGAAAGCCUGACGCAGCAACGCCGCGUGAGCGAUGAAGGCCUUCGGGUCGUAAAGCUCUGUCAAGUGGGAAGAACACAAUGACGGUACCACUAGAGGAAGCCCCGGCUAACUUCGUG